GGGUCAGUAGGUUGGUCGUGCCACCGGUACGUACUGGUCUCACUGAUUCCUCCUUCCUGACGAACCGUAAUGCCAUUAAUUUGGUGUUGCGGGGAAACAGGACUGUUACUUUGAAAAAUUAGAGUGGUUAAAGCAGGCUAACGCUUGAAUACAUUAGCAUGGAAUAAUGAAAUAGGACGAUCGAUCCUAUUUUGUUGGUUUCUAGGAUUGACGUA
rnacentral:rRNA from 1 species